rnacentral:rRNA from 1 species
UGGGGAAUUUUGGACAAUGGGCGAAAGCCUGAUCCAGCAAUGCCGCGUGUGUGAAGAAGGCCUUCGGGUUGUAAAGCACUUUUGUCCGGAAAGAAAUCCUUGGCUCUAAUACAGUCGGGGGAUGACGGUACCGGAAGAAUAAGCACCGGCUAACUACGUGCCAGCAGCCGCGGUAAUACGUAGGGUGCAAGCGUUAAUCGGAAUUACUGGGCGUAAAGCGUGCGCAGGCGGUUUGCUAAGACCGAUGUGAAAUCCCCGGGCUCAACCUGGGAACUGCAUUGCGGACUGGCAGGCUAGAGUAUGGCAGAGGGGGGUAGAAUUCCACGUGUAGCAGUGAAAUGCGUAGAGAUGUGGAGGAAUACCGAUGGCGAAGGCAGCCCCCUGGGCCAAUACUGACGCUCAUGCACGAAAGCGUGGGGAGCAAACAGGAUUAGAUACCCUGGUAGUCCACGCCCUAAACGAUGUCAACUAGUUGUUGGGGAUUCAUUUCCUUAGUAACGUAGCUAACGCGUGAAGUUGACCGCCUGGGGAGUACGGUCGCAAGAUUAAAACUCAAAGGAAUUGACGGGGUCAUAGCUGUUUCCU